UUUUUUUUUUUUUUUUUUUUUUUAAGUAUGCAGAAUGGAAAGAAAAAGAGAAUUGGGCUACUGUUGUCUGUUGAAUUGAUUGCCUCCCAGAGAAGCUGGAGCCAGACCUCGUAGUUUCUUAAACAAGUAGAAGGUGGGCUCCUCACACUUCAAUUGAACAGUAUACCCAGAUUGUCACUUGAAGCUUGAGCAGAGAUCAGAAAGAAGUGUGUACUCUUUCCUGCACUUCAUUUAAAUUCCUGAAAAUUAGCCAGGGUUUGGAGUAAUUUAUUUCAAAAGAGCAAUCUUGUUAGGAUAAAAUGACACUUAACUUUGCUAUGUAGAAGCACUUUUGCAUGACAGUCAGAAGACCUGGGGGACUCCACACUCUUUGACUGACUGACCAUCGACCAUCUCUGGAUCAAGCCUUUCUGUAUCCAGUCAGGUGAUUUUAAAUCUCCCUUACCUAAUUCUAGUUACUCUUCAAUAUUGUAAGCAAGUACAGCAUCUGGUACUAAGCACUGCAAUGUUAGCAUUUAUAUAAAGGGGGUAGAUGAUUGAAGACACGUGACAUAGAGAUUUCUGUAUUUAUGACUCCUCCCUCUUUUAUUUCAUUUUGUCCAUGCCAAUUUCCACGUGACCAUGUUUGAUUUCCAAGUGGCAUUUUUAACUAAAACAGUCUUUUAAUGUGGUGACUUAGAUUUUUUUUUUUAUUUUUUAACAAUGGAGGUGCUUUUGGCCCUUCGUAGAUUCUGGGUCUAAUUCAGAGCUGAUGCAACUUCAUAGAUAUACUGGUGACACUGAUGAAGGCACGUCUUCUCAUUCUGAAUUUAAUACACGGGGCUGAAGUUUAUCACAUUACCAGUUAAAGUGAUGAAUUCAUGGGUUACCCAAGGCCAUUACCGAGGGCUGAGGAGCAACCCUGCAGUUGCUUUGGACUGUUGGAUGGUGAAUUUCAGCACAUUCACACUGACUACCUUUCUUCUACAAGAAAGGUGAGCAGGCACCUCUUGUUGGUCGCUCUUCAGGCAUAGGACUAAGGAUGGACAUUUCUGGAGCCUUUGUGCUCUGGAACACAAGUAAAGAGUAGGAGGGUGUGGUACCUGCCCAUCUCCAUUUGGCUUCUUUUGAGCUUGAGCUGGAUCAGGUUUAUAAGAGUUCUUGAGCCCUUUCCAACCCCAUCAGCAUUUACCUUGGACAGAAUCUUACCAGUCUUCAGUUCUACCCUGGUCUCUGAGGUUGGAUUAAAGCAGUAACUUACAGGAAUGUCUAUGACUCCCAGCUGGUAGACCUGCUUACUUGCUGCUGUCAUGGAUGCUCCUCUCCCACCUCAAAGGAAGAUGAUCUCUUUGAUUUCAGAGCUCUUCUUCCCUUUCCAGAUUGAAAACACAGCUGCAUCCACACCCCCGUUCUUUACUCAGUGCUAGUAUGACUGAACCCUGUCUGUUUCUACCUCUCAAAGGUAUGUUGGCUUCAACUCUGAGAAGGGUUUCAAGAUCUCCAGCUCCACCAUGUUAGCCAUAUGCAAUAGAUCUCAAGAAUUUGGUUUUGCAGGGUGCAGAAAACAUAGAAAUGCAGUGUUGAUUUCUAAAAUCAGGGCAAGUGCUUACACACCCCAUCCUUGAUGAAGCAUCUAGCAGAUUCAUGUCCUAGUGGAAGUGGCCCGAUCCACAUUUACGAAGGUAUUUGAGUGUCUGAUAGGAUGUACAAAGUUUCUCAGUAAAAGAUGCGUAAUGCCUGUUAAGAUUUCACCCUGGCUUAACAGCUGAUCUGCCUUAAACUGGAAUGUUGCCAUUCCUUGGCUUUAACUUGUAAGCUUUUGCUGUCCAUAGAUGUGGACUGAAGCAAACACCAUCUCAGCUCUCCGAACUCCAACCAGACACCAUUGAGUUGCCAUAAUCAAUCAUUGAUCGCCUGUGCCCUGAUCAUAUUGGGGCACAAAAUGGAUUUUGAUGGAGCUGCAGUGUAAUUGCAGUGCUUUUUAGAAGCUCAGUACCGUCAAGGUAUUGCAAAUGAUUUUUGUUUUUCUGGUGCACGGUGUCUGGAAGAAUAAUGCAGCUCAUACUGUUCCUCGUAAUUCACAAUUCAAGUGCCAAAAGAGAAGAACGUGCUGCAACUGAACACCAUUAAAACCAGCUUUAUUACUUGUGGAUAAUUAUAGUCUCAAGGGCUCCAUUUUGGUGCUAGAAUAUGCCAUGCUGUAUUUUCCAUUUCUUGGAACUAUGAAGCUGAUUCCUCUCUUCAGGAAAUAUUUUCUGUAAUCAAAAACAUCUUAAACAUUAGGAUUGUAUGGUUGUUCCUUUUUUUCUCAUUCUUUGAUUCAGAUACACUCAAGAAAUGAAUUCCCUUCCCUCAGUCUUGUGAGUUUUUGAGAUCUUUUGUACAGUAUAUAUGCAUAUGUAUAUUUAAAAACUCUUUACAAAUUUCAGUGCAUGCCUGUUUUUUCCCUUAAUAAUAUUUUGUCAUAUCAGCUGACCUAUGAUUGAGGGAAUCUGUUACUCAGGAUUUGAUCCAGAAACGACCGAGGUUAGUGGAAGUGUCCUCACACAUGUGGGCUUUGGGACAGGGUCUUCAUCAAAUUCUUCCACUUAGAAGUCAAAAAGUGUGCAGUUAAUUAAUACAAAAUUGAAAAUCCACCCUCCUCCAGCAGGCAGAUAUCCUACUGAAAUCUGACGGACUUAAUUAUUAGAGGACUCAUGUCCUUAGGUACUCAAGAACUCCAAAAGAAAGGAGCAGAAGCAUUUAAUGUUCUCAUUUAUUAUUUGGUACAAUACUCCAGCAGCAAGUGCAAAUGAUCUUAAUGUCUGCGUUUAGAAUAUGAGUCAGUCAUCAAAGAAUGAGAGUUUUACAGCCCAGUAGUCCUUUAAAUGUCAUCUGUCCUGGAGGAGAAUGAUUUUACAAUGAUUUGGUGCCGUGCACUGGAAUUCUCUUGCAGAAGACAGAUGAACUGCACAAAAACAUAUUGGGUCAUCGUUUUAAGUACACAUGCCCUUUUAAUUGCUUUAGUCUUUCAUGGGAAAAAGGUUUUCAUGUUGCUGGUUUAAGACUCCCACUUCUGUAAUGGUUCGUGGCACAGCAUACUAGUGGAGUACAUUUGCAUCUGUUGUCACACUUUGUGUGAGUGUGGAGGUGUUUGUGGACAAGCAGAUACUUCAGAUAGGACAAGGAGAUCUCAUUUCAGUACCUUGUUGAAGGAGUCCUCUGUGGAGCCUGGAGGGCAUGUGCUCCCCAGAGCACAUCAUGGACAGGACAUGUUUCGAGCAGUGCUGUUGUUGCGUGGCCAUGUUGCCCAAGUAGUCUAAUGCAGCAAGACAGUUGCAUCCUACCCACAGAUAUUCCUGACCUUGAUAACUACCCAAGCUAGAUGUACGAGUGGGCAGGGAGGGUUUUCAGGGAAGAAGAGAGGGUUGGAGUUCUGCGUUUGAGGGUCUUCUCAUGUGAGGGAAGGGCAGCUGUGGUCUAUCAGUGUAAAUUCCUCAAGACAUCUCUGUCUUGCUCAUAGUAAAUAAAGAUGCUCUGAGCCCCUGCAGGGGCCAGGUGAGAGGAAGGAAAGAAGCAGGCAGUAUAUUCACAUCUAGAAAGCUGGAAGUUUUCUUUCUUGUUUUGCUGAUGGAGAUGAAGGGAUUUGGCCCUGAUGGGUGGAUAGGGGAACAGUAGGGAAGAUCUCCUGGUUUCUGGAGGCAACUUUUGGACUGCCAAGGGAAAUGUCAGGGACCUAAACUUGAGCUCUCUCCCAUAGAAACAGGUGAUACUGCCUUAAGCUCAGAUUGUGGAUCUACAAUAUGCUGUUGUGCAUUACGAUGUGAGAAGACAAAAAUCAGCAUUCCCAAGUCACCAGUCUGCUUGUUGCUGCUUCAGUCUCACUGAAGUUUAUGACCGUUAUAUCUGCUUAAAAAUGUAUACAGGGAUAUAAUGUACAGGCAGGCAUUCACUGUGAUACGGUCCAAAAGUGGUGAAAGAUCUCAACUGCAGGCUUUGAAAGGAGUUGUGUCUUCUCUUGUGCCAGUGUGAGGCAAGGCAAACACUCAGACCCACCUGACACUUAUGGAACAGCAGAAAUGAGCUCAAUAACCAACAGCCGUGGUCCAUUCGUGGUGAUGCACGCUGGAAAUCUGAAUUGUUUUGCAUUCCAGUUUGUAUGGAAGAUUUGAUUCAAACAAUGUAUAUAUAAUCCCUUUGGUGUGUUACAAAUAUAUAUGUGUGUGUGUAUAUAUAUGUAUAUACAUGUGUGCGUGUGUAUAUAUGUAUGUGUAUAUGUAUAUACAUAUAAACCAAUCAAUGCUGGUGUUUUUACUUUUUAAAGUUCAUGGGGCAAAGGGCAUGUUGUUAGUUUGCUGUAAGAUUCUAUUCUGUAUAUAUGUUUUCAUGUAAAUAAGUGAAAAUCUAUAUUCAGAGUUAUAUUUUAAUUUUUAUUCAAAAUGAAAUAAAUCCCCUUUUUACUUGAGCAAUUGUAAGCUACGUUGUUAAUAAAGUAACAAUAAAUCACA
ensembl:lncRNA